rnacentral:rRNA from 1 species
GACGAACGCUGGCGGCGUGCCUAAUACAUGCAAGUAGAACGCUGAAGGAGGAGCUUGCUCUUCUGGAUGAGUUGCGAACGGGUGAGUAACGCGUAGGUAACCUGCCUGGUAGCGGGGGAUAACUAUUGGAAACGAUAGCUAAUACCGCAUAACAGUAGAUGUUGCAUGACAUUUGCUUAAAAGGUGCAAUUGCACCACUACCAGAUGGACCUGCGUUGUAUUAGCUAGUUGGUGGUGUAACGGCUCACCAAGGCGACGAUACAUAGCCGACCUGAGAGGGUGAUCGGCCACACUGGGACUGAGAAACGGCCCAGACUUCUACGGGAGGCAGCAGUAGGGAAUCUUCGGCAAUGGACGGAAGUCUGACCGAGCAACGCCGCGUGAGUGAAGAAGGUUUUCGGAUCGGAAAGCUCUGUUGUAAGAGAAGAACGAGUGUGAGAGUGGAAAGUUCACACUGUGACGGUAGCUUACCAGAAAGGGACGGCUAACUACGUG